rnacentral:rRNA from 1 species
GACGAACGCUGGCGGCGUGCCUAAUACAUGCAAGUUGAGCGCUGAAGGUUGGUACUUGUACCAACUGGAUGAGCAGCGAACGGGUGAGUAACGCGUGGGGAAUCUGCCUUUGAGCGGGGGACAACAUUUGGAAACGAAUGCUAAUACCGCAUAAAAACUUUAAACACAAGUUUUAAGUUUGAAAGAUGCAAUUGCAUCACUCAAAGAUGAUCCCGCGUUGUAUUAGCUAGUUGGUGAGGUAAAGGCUCACCAAGGCGAUGAUACAUAGCCGACCUGAGAGGGGGACCGGCCCAAUGGGGACUGAGACACGGCCCAAACCCCUAGGGGGGGCAACAGGAGGGAAUUUCCGGCAAUGGACGAAAGUCUGACCGAGCAACGCCGGGGGAGGGAAAAAGGUUUUGGGAUCGUAAAACUUUGUUGGGAGGAAAAAACGUGGGGGGGGGUGAAAAGCCAAAAAAGGGAGGGAAACAACCCAAAAAGGGGCGGCAAACCACGU